rnacentral:rRNA from 1 species
UCAUCCGCAAUGGACGCAAGUCUGACGGUGCAACACCGCGUGAGCGAUGAAGGUCUUCGGAUCGUAAAGCUCUGUUGUGAGGGAAGAACAAGUGCCGUUCGAAUAGGGCGGCACCUUGACGGUACCUCACCAGAACGCCCCGGCUAACUACGUGCCAGCAGCCGCGGUAAUACGUAGGGGGCAAGCGUUGUCCGGAAUUAUUGGGCGUGAAGCGCGCGCAGGCGGUUCCUUAAGUCUGAUGUGAAAGGCCACAGCUCAACUGUGGAGGGCCAUUGGAAACUGGGGAACUUGAGGACAGGAGAGGAGAGCGGAAUUCCACGUGUAGCGGUGAAAUGCGUAGAUAUGUGGAGGAACACCAGUGGCGAAGGCGGCUCUCUGGUCUGUAACUGACGCUGAGGCGCGAAAGCAUGGGUAGCGAACAG